GACGUAGGGCGCGAGCGUUGUCCGGAUUUAUUGGGCGUAAAGGGCUCGUAGGCGGUCUGUCACGUCGGGAGUGAAAACUCGGGGCUCAACCCCGAGCCUGCUUCCGAUACGGGGCAGACUAGAGGUAUGCAGGGGGAGAAUGGAAUUCCUGGUGUAGCGGUGAAAUGCGCAGAUAUCAGGAGGAACACCAGUGGCGAAGGCGGUUCUCUGGGCAUUACCUGACGCUGAGGAGCGAAAGUGUGGGGAGCGAACAGG
rnacentral:rRNA from 1 species